UAAUACAGAGGGUGCAAGCGUUAAUCGGAGUUACUGGGCGUAAAGGGCGCGUAGGUGGUUAUGUGUGUGAGACGUGAAAGCCCCGGGCUUAACCUGGGAAAGUCGUCUUAAACUGCAUAGCUAGAGUACUGUAGAGGGUAGUGGAAUUUCCGGUGUAGCGGUGAAAUGCGUAGAGAUCGGAAGGAACACCAGUGGCGAAGGCGGCUACCUGGACAGAUACUGACACUGAGGCGCGAAAGCGUGGGGAGCAAACAGG
rnacentral:rRNA from 1 species